rnacentral:lncRNA from 1 species
GUUAAAAAUUGACUAUAAAGGGCAAUUACUCCUAAAGUGGUCAACUGACCAUUUUGGUCAUGUUGACUUAUUUGUAGAUCUUACUUUGCUGAACAUUAUUGCUGUUUACAGUUUAUCUCUAUCUAUAAUAACAUUCUAGAUAAUAACCAAAAACAGCAAAAUUUCCUUAAAAUUACCAUUUCAGGAGCAGCAACCCAACAACGGGAUGUCCGAUUCAUCUGAAAAUUUCAGGGCAGAUAUAUCUUGACCUGAUGAACAAUUUUACCCCCAUGUCAGAUUUGCUCUAAAUGCUUUGGUUUUUGAGUUAUAAGCCAAAAACUGCAUUUUACCCCUAUGUUCUAUUUUUAGCCAUGGCGGCCAUCUUAGUUGGUUGGGCGGGUCAGCGGACACACUUUUAAACUAGAUACCCCAAUGAUGAUUAUGGCCAAGUUUGGUUAAAUUUGGCCCAGUAGUUUCAGAGGAAGAAGAUUUUUCUAAAAGAUUACUAAAAUUUACGAAAAAUGGUUAAAAAUUGACUAUAAAGGGCAAUAACUCCUAAAGUGGUCAACUGACCAUUUUGGUCAUGUUGACUUAUUUGUAGAUCUUACUUUGGUGAACAGUAUUGCUAUUUACAGUUUAUUUCUAUCUAUAAUAAUAUUCAAGAUAAUAACCAAAAACAGCAAAAUUUCCUUAAAAUUACCAUUUCAGGGGCAGCAACCCAACAACGGAAUGUCCGAUUCAUCUGAAAAUUUCACGGCAGAUAGAUCUUGACCUGAUGAACAAUUUUACCCCCAUGUCAGAUUUGCUCUAAAUGCUUUGGUUUUGAGUUAUAGCCAAAAACUGCAUUUUACCCCUAUGUUCUAUUUUUAGCCAUGGCGGCCAUCUUGGUUGGUUGGGCGGUUCACCGGACACAUUUUUUAAACUAGAUACCCCAAUGAUGAUUAUGGCCAAGUUUGGUUAAAUUUGGCCCAGUAGUUUCAGAGGAGAAGAUUUUUCUAAAAGAUUACUAAGAUUUACGAAAAAUGGUUAAAAAUUGACUAUAAAGGGCAAUAACUUCUAAAGUGUCAACUGACCAUUUUGGUCAUGUUGACUUAUUUGUAGAUCUUACUUUGCUGAACAUUAUUGCUGUUUACAGUUUAUCUCUAUCUAUAAUAAUAUUCAAG